UUCGAUCUUCCUCUGUUCCUUCACUAUAAUAUUACUACUGUCUGCUUUGGGCAGGGUGCCCUGUGGGGUUGGUGGCAUGCUUAAGGGCAGCUAUGGGGACCUAGCUCCUCGAAGUGGUUGGUGGCAGAACAGAACAGAUCUUGUGUGCUUGCCACACGGCAGCUAGGGCACGGGCAGCCCCUGGCGUGCGGGGAUAUGCCUGUGUGGUCCAGAGAGCCCACGGGGAUCAAAGAUGGGCUGCUUUGCAGCGAGAGGCUCCUUUCCUCUGUCCCACCCCAUCCCCAGCCGAAAACACACACGCACCCAAACCCACACCCACAUACAACCUUGGCUGUCAUUUCUGGUUAGGAUUAGAAGAGCUACCCUUGGAGCUCUUGGAGGCCGUGCUCUUUGCCCCUUCAGAGAUUUGUCUUCGAGCUGAGAUUUGGACGGGAGUGAAGCUGGUCUUAGGGACCACCAGAGCCGGGUUCUGGACGGAUGGGCUCGUGUUGUAUUCCCUCUAAUGUCUGAUGUCACUGAAGUCCAGGGAAUGGGGCUCUUGGUGAACCUGAUGCCGGCUCGGGGAGCAAGGGCGGGCCAGGAUGCAUGUGCCCUGUCCUGGCCCCUCACUGUGAGUGUGGGUGCGGCGUGCAAGGGGCAGGAGCGUGAUGCUGGCUUCUACUCAGGCACAGAUAUUUGUGGGGGGCGGGGGUGGUGAGCCGCUUGGCAGGUUGGACCAAACCGUGGAGUCACCCCCCCCAGCUUUUGUGUGAGUUCCCCCCGGUCCUGCACACCACCCCGUGCCUCAGUGCUGUGCGUGUAAGCGUGUAUGUUUCUGCGAUGCCCCUGGCAUCUCCGUACUGCUAAGAGCGAGCCCUCUUCUCUCUCUGGCGGAACGGCCCCCUUAUGAGCUGUCCCGUGAUCCGUCCAGACCUCACUCAUGCUUCUGAGUGCCUUGGUCGCCGAGCAGAGCAGCUGGGCAAGGCUAAUGGCCUGGGUGGGCCUUCGGGACAUGAGGUUGAAGUUAGAAUUCUGCUUUCUGAGGACCAGAUGGAGUGUGGAGACUUGAGUUAUGGGAAGUUAGAUUCCGCCUGCUUCUAGAUUCUUCUUGGGUGUAAAAUUAAUAUCGAGCACACAGCCAGCCAUUUUUUCUUAGACCCUCUGUGGGUCUUAAUUGCACCUCCCAUCUUAGAGAAUGGAGGGAGGGAGGAAGGGCAGCCGGGGUCUCCCCGACCCCAUAGGUGGCCCACAUGUGCCAGGGAGAAUGCUGGCGGGGAGGUCUCUCUGCUCUGAGCGCGGAUGCAGGGGCCCGCCCGUCACAGCCUGGCUGAGAAGAGCAAUAAGGAUGGAGGGUGCGAGUGCCUGGGUGCCUUGAAGCUUUGCAAGGGCGGUUUCCCGCAGUGGGAGUGCCAUCCCUGCUGUGGGGAACUGCUUUUCCCUACAGAUGGGACUCCUGGCUGCAGCCUCGCUGGUGGCAAUUUGCUUGAGGGCCCAGGCCUGCAAUUCCUGGGCCGGUGCUGCCCUCUUCUGGGCUCUUCUGGGAGCUUCCAGUGCUGAGGACGUGAGUGCCGGUGUUUGACCAGCAGGGGGAGCCGGCGGGCCGAGACCAGUUUCCCACUCGGCCAGAUAAAGCCAUUUUGCGAGAGAGCUGUUACAGCCAACCCAGGAACUCUGAAAGCAAGGAAGUUGGAAAGCCCUGUUCUCAGAAAGAUGCUGUGCCGGGCUUGUGUUCCAGAAGCUGCAGGGAUUGUUUGCUGGCUGCCCCUGAGCUCAGGGACUCUCCGCCUUCUGGAGAAUUCCUCUUCUCCACGUCAGGACUCUAAGGUCAGGCAGCCAGGAGAGCACCUCCCCCAUUUGAAGAUUCCUGUGGCUUCCCCCCCAUUUCUAGUAAUGGAAGUAAGCCAGAGCUCUCUGCCUACAGGGCUGCUGCUCCUGGGGCAAAGAAACCCACACUCCAGUUCUUGAGGGCAUUAUGAACAGAGGCGGCGACACUGAAUGUAUACUGGCUCUCAGGCCUCCACACACGUGGCCCAAGUCUGGUCAGCGACCCAAGAGGACAUUGGGAUAGGGACCUCCAUCUGCCCUGCACAGGAAGGGGUGCGAUUCCUGCCUGCCCUGGGAGAGGAGGGCACCUCUCAGAGUGUGGGCUGGGAGCCUUCGAUGGUUUUGCCGAUGCCAAUCUUAAUAGAAUCCUAAACCAAUUAAUUGGUAAUUGAUGACAAUUCCACAGGGAGAGAAAUCCCCAAUCAGGAUUAGUGUCUUCUUGUGCUCUGAGCAUCUCUCAUCUCUUGCCUGGUCUUUAGUUUUCAUACAUUUUUUUCCUAAAAGAUUUGGGAUUUUUUUUUUUUCCCCUCCACUGUGAUCCUAAGUUCUUAAAAAAAAAAAAAAAAAAAAAAAAACUCGAGGGAAAACAUUUAAUUUAUUAAAGGAGAAAAAGCUUUCCUUUCAAAUGUAAAGACUUUCGGGAAUAAAAGUUCCUGAAAGGGGAAACACUUCUCCCGCCAGUAAACAGCUCAUUUAUUUCUUGUAUGUAAUUCGAUUUGCACAAGUACAAUUGGAGAAGCUUUUUGCAUUUUUGCUUAGAUUCGGUUUUGUCACUGCUUAUAGUUUACUUUUUGUGUGUUUUGCUGUAUGUUUGGAGAUAUUUCUUUGGUGAUAUUUAUUUUUUCUCUGAGGUGCCUUUUCACUUUCGGGUUCGUUUUCGGAAUGUGGGGUUGGUUUUUGGAAUCUGGGUUUUGUUGAAGGAAGCUAGCAGACUCCUCCAGCUUGGAGAUAGGACAUGCCCUGGCAUCACUGCGGGCAACUCAGGCUGGGCGCCGGAAAUGCCCUCCAAGCCCCCCCCCGGACCAUAGUGUAGGGGCACAUACACCCCCAUGAAGCCAUGAGAACCCCCAAGAAAAGGUCUGACUUCCUCCAGACCAGCCCAUACUUUCCCAGGCUGCUCGGCCAGGUCUUUGGGUUUGGGGACUGCUGGCUGACACGUGCCACCCCGGGAGCUUGGUGAGGUCUGGCUGCAGCAGAAAACCAGCCCUACCUGAGGGGUUGCACUGAAGGGAAGCAGGCCCUGCUGAACUCAUGGAAGCACUGGCCCAAAACCACUUCAUCUGGUUAGCAGGAUGAAGGGGAAGAAAUACACACCCCCUUUUUUUGUUUCUUUGGCAAACGUGGGGUUCGAUAAAAGUGACUACUCAGCUUCCCGGUAAGCUCACUUUGGGGCGCCCCAGUGCAGCUCACUUGUAGUGAAGCCACGAGUGUGACCAGGUAGACAGAAACUGUUCUGUUUAUGGGUGGAUUUGUGCUUUUUAGACCAGACCAAGGCAGCCCACCCCAUUCUCCGAGGUGGUUUACCUAGAUUGUGUAUUUAAUGGGAACAUUGCCACCCUCUCCCAUGCCCCCCGCAAUUCUUGAUUUUAAAAAAAAGGUCUGUUAACGACAGGCUCAGUUGUGUCACUCUCCCAUGCCUGGAAUGUUGUAUUUAUUGAAAAGUAUUUUCAUUUCUACACUGGCUUCAUUCUAACCCCAUCCAUCCCUACGGGGCUGCAGAGCACCUUUGGAUGGAUGUAGAGAGAUUCAGACUUCUUUAGGAAGGUAGGAAUUUCCUAAAGCACAGGGCGGGUUCCUUUCCUUCUUGUGGGCUUCAACAAAAAAAAUGGAAAACCAAGUUUUUAUAGCAAAAGGCCAAAUUAGCUGUCUAGUGUCCAAUGCAGAAAAAAACUACCCUAGCUUUCUUAGCACUUAGGGUUUUUGUGAGGAUUCAGUUUAGCAGUGAAUUAGCAGUGUUUAGCAGUGUCUGGCAUAUAGUAAGCCCUAGUGAGUGUUAAAUAUCGUUGUUAUUUGCCUUUCAUAAAAUUCGAGAAAAAAAGAGCUGAGCUCACUUCCUAUCCUUGAUUCAAAAGUAAUACCUACGGGAGAAUACUCCCAAGUUGAUGGAAUGUUGUAGGACGUAGUGGUGGAAGAUACCUGAGUCCUGUGUCCACCCUGCUGGUUAAAAUGCACUGACUGGAAAAUAUGCCUGACUGCAGCCCCAGAUGGAACUGGGCCACAAGAAUUAGCAAACUGAACAUAAGAGGGUGACCUCUGGCCACAUGCUGCGGACCGCACCCCACUCAGCUUCUGGAUCCUUCCAGGGUUUUGCUUUGCAGAACUUGGUGAGCUGGAAAUUCAAAUGAAUUCUCUGACAGACUGUCCCCUUAAAGUUACCCAUCUUUCUCUGAAAUGCAAUGAUAGAGGCGUUUCUGUUUUUUAUUGAAGGGGAAAGGAAUGACCAAUUGAACUUAAUCGCUCCCCAGGAAGCCCCUUUUGGCGCCCCCUGCUGGCCAGGGUGGCUCCUGCACUGUCCAGUGCAAGAGGAUCAGGCUCCCAGGCUGAUCCUCUGGAUUCUCUUCAGCUGAAUCAGCAGUCAUUUAAGAUCGGAACUUACCUUCUUCAAAGCAUCAUUUCCUCUAUUCUUCCCAGAUCUUGUGGAGCCUUCAGAUUACCCCCCAGCCCCCCACAUCCGGUGAGGCACGACAAAGGGAUGCAAGGGCAGCCGUGCGCUCGUGCGUCGGGCAGGGCCCCGUCUGGGUCCGUGGGGGGCAAGGGUGGUCCUGGAGGCUCAGAGCCUUUGCGGUGCUGGAGGGCUCCCUGGGCCAGCCGGCCGGGAACCUAGCACAGGCAGCCAUCUCUGGCACAGCUGAGAUGGAGCAGACGUGGGAUGCCUUUGCUCACCGGCCUGCCCGGGUAUGAACAAGAGUGCAAGUCUAUGCCAAAGGAGAUGGUGACGUCCUUUCUGCUGUAGUUGCUGUCACAGCCUUGAUGUCUGUAAGCUAAUGGCCAUUCGCGUCUGUGUCUUCAGCCAGCUCCUGGUACAACCGUUUUCUACUGUUCACUUCUGGGGUUAAGUAGUGCGGGAUUCUGCAAAUAAGGUGUUGCUGUCAAAUGUACUGUACCGGCGUAGGGGGCACGGCUUUGUUUUCCACUGUUGUAGAGAAAACUAGGGAGAACUUUAUUUUUCAAUAAACUUUUCUUGUGUG